AUGCUUGUUUUGCUAGCACACAUACUAAAAUUGGAAUGAUACAAAGAUUAGCAUGGUCCCUGCACAAGGAUGAUAUGCAAAUUUGUGAAUCAUUCCAUAUUUAA